GUCCCGAUAGUUCAACGGAUAGAACAAGGGUUUCCUAAACCUUAGAUCUGGGUUCGAUUCCCGGUCGGGAUG
rnacentral:tRNA from 1 species